GAUGAACGCUGGCGGCGUGCCUAAUACAUGCAAGUCGAGCGAACAGAUGAUGAGCUUGUUCCUCUCACGUUAGCGGCGGACGGGUGAGUAACACGUGUAUAACCUACUUAUCAUACUGGUAUCACUUCGGGAAACCGGCUCUUAUCCCGUAUAAUAUCUUGCACCGCAUGGUUCAUUAGUGAAAUACGGUUUUGCUGUCACCUCUCGAUGCUUCCCCGCCGCAUUAGCUAGUUGUUAGGGUAACGGCUUACCACGGCAACGAUGCGUAGCCGAAGUGAGAGGGUGAUAGGCGACACGGGAGCUGAGACGCGGACAAGACGACUAAGAGAGGCAGCAGUAGGGAAUCGGCCGCAAUGGGCGAAAACAUGACGGAGCAACGCGAAGUGAGUGAUGAAGAUGUUCGGAGCGUAAAAAUCUGUUAUUAGGGAAGAACAAAUGUGGAAGUAAAUAUGCACGGAUUGACGGUAACUAAUCAGAAAGCCACGGCUAACUACGUG
rnacentral:rRNA from 1 species